UCCCAAUCUAGAAGCAGGGCACAGAUGUAGAGAAUCUGUUUUUUCAUACACCUCCUUUCUGUCCUGAGCUCAUGGGUUCUCUGGCAUUAACAACCAAAUUGAAACCAUCAGUUCCAAAUUAGAAAUGCAGAUAAGCUCUCAUGAGGAGCAGAUGCAAACUGCCUCUGAUUGUGUCCAACAAGGGACUUUGAAUGUGAUAGUGUUUUUUAUGUCCCUGUAUUAUAGAGGAUGGACUUGUACUCUCCCUGAGAAUCUUCUGCUGAUCCUUGCCCAAAAUGUGGAACUAAAGAACAGCUUUUGUCUGCAAAAGUAUCUCAGGAAACUGUUCUGUGGACGACUGUCUUCAAUGGUACUCUACAGGUCUCUGACCCUGCUCCCUUGAGGAAAUACAGGAGAAAAUUCUAGCUCCUACUAGGUGUUGCUGCUUCUUACUGCAUCUGGGCUUUGACCUCUUAUCCAUUUAAAAUGCAUCUGCUGAGUGCUGAGUUCUUCUCUUUUGUCUGUUGCUCUGAAGCUCUGAGCAUAAAACUUUUUUUUUUUGUCCUGUUUCAUUUGCUGCUCUACCUUUUCCUGUUCCUCACUGCACAAUCUGUCUUACCUUGAAGGUCGUUCACAGCACUCCCUCCCUGUCUAGUCAUGUCUCUUAUCUCGGAACAUUAAUUUAGCUUGCCUACUGCGAGUGAAAGUAAUAAAAAAUAAUUGGUUGUUUGCA
rnacentral:lncRNA from 1 species